GUAACGAACGCAACCCUCAUUGUCUGUUAUAUUUGUCAGACGAGACUGCCCCCUCACGGGGGAGGAAGGUGAGGAUGACGCCAAGUCAGCAUGUCCCUUUGACAUCCGGGGCUGCACACACGCUACAAUGGGUACUACAGAGGGGCGCAAUAGCGUAAGCUGGAGCAAAUCCCCAAAAGUAUCCUCAGUUCGGAUUGAGGUCUGCAACUCGACCUCAUGAAGUUGGAAUCGCUAGUAAUCGUGAAUCAGCACGUCACGGUGAAUACGUUCUCGAGCCUUGUACUCACCGCCCGUCAAUACAAGGGAGCUGGGAGUACCCAAAGUCUGUCUUAAUGGCAGCCUAAGGUAAAUUCAGUAACAAGGUAUAAGUCGUAACAAGGUAACC
rnacentral:rRNA from 1 species